AAACAAUAUUAUGGGAAAAAAAUAACGUGGGGAAAAAGUAAACGUUAAAAAGGGGAGGGAUUUUGGUAUAUUUCCUCUUUCACCUUUUUUUUUCAAACAAAAAAAUAACAGAAUAACAAAAAAUAAAAAUAAAAUAAUAAAAACAAAUCCUAACCAACCACUACCCACUAACUCCCGUAUUUAUCCCAUCACUUCUUAGAGUUUAAAACAAACCCAACUUCCACUAUAGCACAGCCCAACAAGACUAUUAAUAAAAUAAAAUAAUUCAAGCUACUCAAACCGAUACUCAAACUCAAGACCUCAAACUCACACCCCAAA
rnacentral:lncRNA from 1 species